rfam:Eutrema salsugineum unplaced genomic scaffold scaffold_14, whole genome shotgun sequence.
AAGCCAUGGUGUGGACAUUGGUUGGUAUAGCUUCGAAAUCUCUCCCAAGCUUCACUAAAACUUUCAUUGGUGUGUUGUGUGAAGCUUGAGAUUUGAUUUCUCAGCUU